ACUGAAUGGUGACAGCUGUAGGAUUCAGUAUGUUAUGGGAACUGAAUGGUGACAGCUGUAGGAUUCAGUAUGUUAUGGGAACUGAAUGGUGACAGCUGUAGGAUUCAGUAUGUUAUGGGAACUGAAUGGUGACAGCUGUAGGAUUCAUUAUGUUAUGGAAACUGAAUGGUGACAGCUGUAGGAUUCAGUAUGUUAUGGAAACUGAAUGGUGACAGCUGUAGGAUUCAGUAUGUUAUGGGAACUGAAUGGUGACAGCUGUAGGAUUCAGUAUGUUAUGGGAACUGAAUGGUGACAGCUGUAGGAUUCAGUAUGUUAUGGGAACUGAAUGGUGACAGCUGUAGGAUUCAGUAUGUUAUGGGAACUGAAUGGUGACAGCUGUAGGAUUCAGUAUGUUAUGGAAACUGAAUGGGAACUGAAUGAUUCAGUAUGUUAUGGGAACUGAAUGGUGACAGCUGUAGGAUUCAGUAUGUUAUGGGAACUGAAUGGUGACAGCUGUAGGAUUCAUUAUGUUAUGGGAACUGAAUGGUGACAGCUGUAGGAUUCAGUAUGUUAUGGGAACUGAAUGGUGACAGCUGUAGGAUUCAGUAUGUUAUGGGAACUGAAUGGUGACAGCUGUAGGAUUCAGUAUGUUAUGGAAACUGAAUGGGAACUGAAUGAUUCAGUAUGUUAUGGGAACUGAAUGGUGACAGCUGUAGGAUUCAGUAUGUUAUGGGAACUGAAUGGUGACAGCUGUAGGAUUCAUUAUGUUAUGGGAACUGAAUGGUGACAGCUGUAGGAUUCAGUAUGUUAUGGGAACUGAAUGGUGACAGCUGUAGGAUUCAGUAUGUUAUGGGAACUGAAUGGUAACAGCUGUAGGAUUCAGUAUGUUAUGGGAACUGAAUGGUGACAGCUGUAGGAUUCAGUAUGUUAUGGGAACUGAAUGGUGACAGCUGUAGGAUUCAGUAUGUUAUGGGAACUGAAUGGUAACAGCUGUAGGAUUCAGUAUGUUAUGGGAACUGAAUGGUAACAGCUGUAGGAUUCAGUAUGUUAUGGGAACUGAAUGGUGACAGCUGUAGGAUUCAGUAUGUUAUGGGAACUGAAUGGUAACAGCUGUAGGAUUCAGUAUGUUAUGGAAAC